rnacentral:rRNA from 1 species
AUUGAACGCUGGCGGCGUGCUUAACACAUGCAAGUCGAUCGGUAACAGGUGUAGCAAUACAUGCUGACGAGAGGCGGACGGGUGAGGAAUAUUUGGGAAUCUGCCCAUCAGCGGGGACAACCCGGGGAAACCCGGGAUAAUACCGCAUACGCUCUACGGAGGAAAGCCGGGGACCGCAAGGCCUGGCCAUGAUGGAUGAGCCCAAAUCGGAUUAGCUAGUUGGCGGGGUAACGGCCCACCAAGGCGACGAUCCGUAGCUGGUCUGAGAGGACGAUAAGCCCAACCGGAACUGAGACCCGGUCCGGACUCCUACGGGAGGCAGCAGUGGGGAAUAUUGGACAAUGGGGGAAACCCUGAUCCAGCGACGCCGCGUGGGUGAAGAAGGCCUGCGGGUUGUAAAGCCCUUUCGGUAGGGACGAAAGCUCCUGCUCUAAUAAUGCAGGAGGUUGACUUAACCUACAUAAGAAGCACCGGCUAACUCUGUGCCAGCCGCCGCCGUAA